rnacentral:rRNA from 1 species
AGAGUUUGAUCCUGGCUCAGGAUGAACGCUAGCUACAGGCUUAACACAUGCAAGUCGAGGGGAAACGACAUCGAAAGCUUGCUUUUGAUGGGCGUCGACCGGCGCACGGGUGAGUAACGCGUAUCCAACCUGCCCACCACUUGGGGAUAACCUUGCGAAAGUAAGACUAAUACCCAAUGACGUCUCUAGAAGACAUCUGAAGGAGAUUAAAGAUUUAUCGGUGAUGGGUGGGGAGUGCGUCUGAUUAGCUUGUUGGCGGGGUAACGGCCACCAAGGCGACGAUCAGUAGGGGUUCGUGAGAGGAAGGUCCCCCACAUUGGACUGAGACACGGUCCAAACUCCUACGGGAGGCA